CAGGCAGGUGUGUUAGAGUUAGGGGGCUAGUGGAAUAGAAGACAAGCAGGCUUGAAGAGGUGACUCCUGCAACCACCCCACAGCUCCACCAGGAGGUGCCAGCAGCGGUGACCGUGGCUGUCUCUCCUGCCACCCUGUGGGCACACACACCUGGACCGGAGCACUGGAUGUGGGAGAGAAGGUGGGCCCGCACGGUAGCAAUAGCAAUGAAACACUGGCUGGCAGGUUUAUCGGGGAGAGCUUUCCCACCACGAGCAGGGCCACUCACACUUCACAGGUGUCUUGUUGAGAAGCAAGCAUUGUUAUUUGCUCCACUUUACACAUGAAAAGACAAGAGGAUGGGAAGUGGAAAGAGUGAUUUUUCUCAAAGACCCAGAGCCAAGAAGCACGGAAGCCAAAAGAAGCAGGAGCAGAGGGAGAGGAUCAAGCCCUGCACCUGUCUGCCGUGUAGGGUUUCUGCUUCCCGGGUUUGGAAAGAGGGGUCAAAGGAUAUGGAGAGGAGGCAGAACCAGGCUGCUGCCCCCUCUCCACCCCAGCCCAUUGGCAUCACCCACCGGGAGAACAUACUUUGGCUAUGACUUCAGACCAGCCUCUGAAGGGAAACAAGAGGGGAUCGCCCAGUCGACUGGUGAAACGCCCCAGCUCUGACCCUCUCCCUCGCUGGCCUGCCUCAGACCAGGCCCUUGUUCUUUGUUUCUGGACACCAAUCCUCAUAACUUCUGUCUCCUGAGUAACUAGGACUACAGAGGUGCACCACCACACCCAAUCCUGGAAAAACACUUUUAAGGAAUGCUUUCAAGAAAAACGCAUAUGUAAAAAUGGAAGGUGUCCUAAGGAAAGCUGUCCUAAAGAGGUGGCAUUUAUACAGCAAUUCAGCACAGCAUUCAGGCAAAAGACAUAUGGGAUGGCACUCCAGACAGUGGGAACAGAGGAGGCUGUGGUCAUUCUGGGAGGGGACAAGAAGUCUGUACAGCUUGAACAGUGUGAAGGAGGAAGGUAAGGAAAGAGUGCAGAGGUGGCAGAGCCAAAGAACAGGGCCUUGCAGGCCCCGUUAGGACAGGAAGCAUGGCUAGUUCAUGAGUUCAAACUCCAGUACUGUCAGGAGAGAGGUGGGGGGAGAGGUCAUGGCAGGAAGAAAUCUGAGCCUUGAGGCUAGAUAAGAUGUUGUAAGUGGAAGGCUUCUGACAGAUUUUUGAAUGAGGAAGGUCCUUUGGGGCUGGUGUAAGGACAGAAUCAUGGGGUGACACUGGAGGCAGGAUGGCCAUGGAGUGGGGGGCUGGGGCAGUGCCCUGGGUACUAAAGAGGAUGGAGGCAUGAGAAUGAAGAUGAGCACAGAAAUUCAAGCAAGAAGGCCUGAGGUGGGCAGAUGUCAAGGCCAUCUCCGGUAGACAGUGGUAAGAGGAGCAGGUCUGGGGGGAAACUGGAAGAUGUGUCUUGGACGCAACUCGGCCUACAGACCAGGCAACUGGCAGGUGCUUUACAAAUUCCUACUGAUCCAUACACUCCUCAUCGUAGCUGCCUACCACUGGCGGUUUCCCAAAUCCACCAAAAUUUUUAGUUCACCUCCAGCAAGAAGAGAAACUCUGUGCUGUGACUUAAAGAAGAGAAAAGAUAGAGGGCUGAAGUCCUCUAUAUGCUCUAGGACUCCAUUUCUCCAUCUCAGAGUGGAGUGUGAGGUGGGCUGGAGGAGAGCUCUAAGACUUCUUCCAGCUCUGAAGUUCUAUGGCUUGACAGACAGACACAAGAACAAGUAGGACGGAUGGAUGGAUGAUCCAGCGGAGGGACAGUGUGCAAGUGAGAGAGCAGGCAGGGACUGCAGCUUUCUCUGCAGGAGGGCUGGCGCAGGCCUCCGCCUCCCACUACCACCUUCGCGUCAGGGUGAAGGUAGGCAGACCCAGGGUCGUGCUGCCCCGAAGCCCAGCUCACCCUGGCUUGUGUGUGUCUCCCCCAGACAGGAUCCUUGGUACCCAUCCCCACCUUCCACAGUCUCCAAAGGAGCAUGCAUCCGUGGCUGGACCUUCUGCUCUCAAUUCAGGUGCCCCAACAUCUCCCACUGUGCCCAGACUUUGCAGAGUGCCAGCAACCUUCCAGCUCUUCACUAGCUCUGACCACCCUCUUCCCCUCCCCAAGUUGUGUACAGCCGGAGUCUACAGGCCCAUCCCUGUGCAGGGAGCUGUCCAACGGCUGAAAUGUAUCCUCCUCUAUUCAACCCGCAUUCUGGAUCCAUCCAGAGCUUUCCAGGGUACUCCUUGAUUUCCCUGAGCCAUGGUCUCCAGGGCCCUACCGGAUAUCUCCUCCCCCACACAAGCAGCACACUGGAGGAUGCCAAGUACUUCGCCAUCCCCCUCUUGAAUACUGCCAGUCCUUGCCAGCCCUCCUUCGGGAAGCCCC